AGAAAGAAACAUGUAGUACAAUGGAGCAAGGAAGUUGUACAGAGAUAAGCCAAAGCGGUAGAGGGGUUCCACAGGAGUGACCUGAGAUCACAUGUAGCAUUUAUGUAUUGCGCUUGAUGUGUUCUCAGGUCGCCCCUGCGGUACCUUCUCUACCAUAUCAUUGCACUGCUGUAGAUUUGAAUGGACAUUGACAACGGACCCGAAGUGUUACAUUGAAAGGUCUCAUGGCACUACAUUGUUUUAGUUCCCACUUCUCUUCUCUUCCUAGUAAUCCAGGAACCUUUUCUGCGACAUUAUUGACAUCCCGCCAGAAAACCCAACAGCUCGAGGCAACAUUCCAAUCGGACGCCGGUUCCAUGAUUUGGCGAGAACCCAUUUGUUCGUAUUUUCGACAUCAGCAUCUGUCUUCUUCAAUUCCUUGCUCUUCAUUUUGCGACAUUAAUCAGUUGUAGCUUUUUUGCCGCUUGACUUAUGAUUCAUCUUGCUUUAUAUAUAGAUUAUUUGUAUUUUGAAGAACACUAGAAGAACAUCUUCUGCAGUAUCCGAAUGUGAUGAAACUCAAAAGCAGUCCUUUGUCAGCUGUGCAAGAUGGAGGAGAGAAUCCGUGAGCCUGUUAUUAGCAAAAGCUGAUACAACAAGCCAUUUGCAUAGGAGCUCAACCAGAAUUGCUUUGGAGAUGGUUUUUUUUCUGCUCAAGAAACUUUUAGUUCCGCUUCAAAAUCUUUUUCAUGACGAGGUUCUAAUUCUUUGAAAUUUCCGACAAGCCGUGUGAACAGAGAUGAGAGGGGUUCAACCUCUGCCCUGGCAACCAGGAUAAGAACAUUUGGAUACUUUCAAGUUUUGAGCACUUGAGAAAUCCAUCAGACGCUCAAUUUUGGUGAAGCAGAAGACUUUGUAUAUCCAGCUUUACACGACGUUGAAUUCAUGCUAGGAACUGAGAGUAUCAAAUGCAUAA
rnacentral:sRNA from 1 species